UGUGUUAGUGGAAGCGUCUGGAAAGGCGCGCGAUACAGGGUGACAGCCCCGUACACAAAAGCGCAUGUGCUGUGAGCUCGAUGAGUAGGGCGGGACACGUGGUAUCCUGUCUGAAUAUGGGGGGACCAUCCUCCAAGGCUAAAUACUCCUGACUGACCGAUAGUGAACCAGUACCGUGAGGGAAAGGCGAAAAGAACCCCGGCGAGGGGAGUGAAAAAGAACCUGAAACCGUGUACGUACAAGCAGUGGGAGCACCCUUUGGGGUGUGACUGCGUACCUUUUGUAUAAUGGGUCAGCGACUUAUAUUCUGUAGCAAGGUUAACCGUAUAGGGGAGCCGGAGGGAAACCGAGUCUUAACCGGGCGUUAAGUUGCAGGGUAUAGACCCGAAACCCGGUGAUCUAGCCAUGGGCAGGUUGAAGGUUGGGUAACACUAACUGGAGGACCGAACCGACUAAUGUUGAAAAAUUAGCGGAUGACCUGUGGCUGGGGGUGAAAGGCCAAUCAAACCGGGAGAUAGCUGGUUCUCCCCGAAAGCUAUUUAGGUAGCGCCUCGUGAAUUCAUCUCCGGGGGUAGAGCACUGUUUCGGCUAGGGGGCCAUCCCGGCUUACCAACCCGAUGCAAACUGCGAAUACCGGAGAAUGUUAUCACGGGAGACACACGGCGGGUGCUAACGUCCGUCGUGAAGAGGGAAACAACCCAGACCGCCAGCUAAGGUCCCAAAGUCAUGGUUAAGUGGGAAACGAUGUGGGAAGGCCCAGACAGCCAGGAUGUUGGCUUAGAAGCAGCCAUCAUUUAAAGAAAGCGUAAUAGCUCACUGGUCGAGUCGGCCUGCGCGGAAGAUGUAACGGGGCUAAACCAUG
rnacentral:rRNA from 1 species